UACAGAGGGUGCAAGCGUUAAUCGGAAUUACUGGGCGUAAAGCGUGCGUAGACGGUUGCGUAAGUCAGAUGUGAAAGCCCCGGGCUCAACCUGGGAAUUGCAUUUGAGACUGCGUAGCUAGGGUGCGGAAGAGGGAAGCGGAAUUCCGGUGUAGCGGUGAAAUGCGUAGAUAUCGGAAGGAACACCAGUGGCGAAAGCGACUUCCUGGACCAGUACCGACGUCAGGCACGAAAGCGUGGGGAGCAAACCGG
rnacentral:rRNA from 1 species